ACGCCCAGUGCGAUAAGGGGACUCCAAGUGCGAGGGCAUAUAGUCCUCGCUUUUCUCCACCGUAAGGAGGUGCAGGAAUAAGUGCUGGGCAAGACCGGUGCCAGCCGCCGCGGUAAUACCGGCAGCACGAGUGAUGACCGAUCUUAUUGGGCCUAAAGCGUCCGUAGCUGGCCACGCAAGUCUAUCGGGAAAUCCGCGCGCUCAACGCGCGGGCGUCCGGUGGAAACUGUGUGGCUUGGGACCGGAAGAUCCAGAGGGUACGUCCGGGGUAGGAGUGAAAUCCCGUAAUCCUGGACGGACCACCGGUGGCGAAAGCGCUUUGGAAAGACGGAUCCGACGGUGAGGGACGAAAGCUCGGGUCACGAACCGGAUUAGAUACCCGGG
rnacentral:rRNA from 1 species